AUGUCAUUCGAUGAGCUAAGAACAAAAAAGAAGUCUUGCCCAUCCCCUGUUGGCAUUGUACAUAAGUUCAAGGCAUUUGAAAAAACAGUGCAUUUUAAUUUCAGGUUACGAAUUGGGCGUGCCCCUCCGGAUAGAGCACCCUGUGCUGGUAGAGUCACUCCUUUAGAGGAAAUAAUAAGGAGAUACGCUGAUAAACCAUCGGACAAUGUAAUAAAGCCAGAGAUUGGAAUGAGUUUUGAUUCCCUUGGAGAAACAUACGAUUUCUAUAACUUGUAUUCUUGGGAGGUUGGAUUUGGUAUAAGAUAUGGCAAGAGCCGUUUGAACGUUGAGCGGACAAAGUGUUUGCAAGAGAUCGUCUUUGAAUGCUCGGGAAAACCAGAGCAAUAG
rnacentral:rRNA from 1 species